AUUUAUUAAAGGCGCGCAUCCAGAGGACGGUCACCUCAAAGUGUCUCUGAACCUUCGAAGCAGUGUACUCACUAUGCCAAACUUCGUGCAAAAGGGUUUAGUCUUCCCGCGUUUAAACGGUUCGUUUCAGGUGUCACACGAUCGUGUAUUGAUUAUUUUUUUCUUGUACAGACUAUAGAACUGUAUGUACGCAUAUAUUCAUACAAUUGUAUUGCAAAUACUUCAUUACGCAAAGACACACUGAUGUUUAUUGUUAUUGGAACAGAUGUAAUGUACAAUGCAUUAAUAUGCACAUAUCACUUUGCGUUACAAUAGUAUUACAAUCGAGUGAAAAAUAAUAAAGUUUCAGGUCAACAAUAAGACUUACAAUAGAAGAUACACGUACAUACUCGUAUACGCAACUAUUACAGUAUCUAACUCUAAAGCUAAGUAAAAUAGAAUAACACGUCGUUAAAAUAAAAUCAAUAAUAAAUUUGUAGGAAGUGAGAAUGGUAUCACGAGGUCAUCGGCAUCUUGACUUCAAAUUACGUAGAACUUUAUAAAAAUAACUCAAUCAUUGUUAUAAAAUUGAAAACUACUAAAAAUUAAAUUUUGUAAAUAAAUGUAUAUAACUUUCUUUAAAAAUUCAUAUAUUUUAAAAAAUAGAAAGUCAUAUAUUUAAACAACAUAGUUCAUAGGAAGAAUUACCCCAAAAAUUAUGAAAAUUGUUCACAUUGGUGACGCUUAAGUCUACCAUUUAAUUUAUCGUAGAUACAUCCCUGCGGUUUGUGUCUGCGCAUGCGCGUAUCUGUACGCACGAAGAGGUACUCGACUAAUCGCAUCGGGUGCCCCGGCCACGCUUCCCGCUCUUCGUUUCCUCGUGUUAUUUAGUGAACGUCUUUACGUUCUUUUCCGAAUUCUUGUCAUUUUGUGGUUACCCAAACGUCACGCGAUACCUUUGAAUUUUGCGCAUUAGUUAUAAUCGUAUAUAUUAAAGACAUCCUCUGGGUAUAUAGAAUUUCUGCGCAUCAAUACGUUCGUGCAACGUCAACCUAACCCCCAAUAAGUGCAGGAGCCACGGACCUGACAUUCCAUUACGAUGUAUAAGGCUUUCCUCCAGGUAUCCGUGGUGCUAUAACCCCAUUUUCCUUUCUCUUUCUUGUUCUAAUACACAUAUGCGUAUGCAUACUCAUUUUCAUUUCCUAUUACGAUUACUUUUUCGUUAUUUGGUUAUGAUUCGACUCGAGGUCAUCUCUAGCUUGUUAAGUUUGUACAGAUGUAGAAAUUCUGUUGCUUCGAGUUCAUAGAUAUUAAUAAAUAAAAUUAAAAGAGA